AUAUAUUCAUAGUAGGGGAGAGCGGGGUAAUGUGGGACACCGGGUAAUGUGAGACACCCGCUGUAACUAGGCAAAGAAACAAAUUUGCGGUCAUGUGACCAUAAUGUUUUCAAGCCCCUCCCACCCCCCACUUGUCAUGAAGGAGAAGUUGGUGCUGGUUCUGUGGUAAGUAUUUUUUUUCACAAAAAUGUGUUUGUUGCAUGUAAAAGUAAAUUUUCUUACUGCGAACGUAAUCAACUGUAGUAUCAAAGCAAAUUGGUUCAGGUUGAAAAACUUAUAUCAUACAUGUUGAUGAACUUCCAACAUAUAAAACCAUGUGAUUGAUGCUAGUUAAAGAUUAGCCUGAAUUGCCUAGAGAUGUUGUUUUUUCUAAAAUGGUGGCUGUGGGGUAAAGUGAGACAGAUGCUGUGGGGUAAAGUGAGACGCUGACUCACUUUACCCCGACAUGAAGCACAAGUUAAGUUUAGUCUUAUAUAUAUUUUAGUCUAAUAUUACAAUACAUAUGUUUUAAUUUUAAUGUCAUAAACAUUGUAGAAAAGUCAUCAUGCCAAGACGAUACAUCAGGAAGACAGCUUGGGGCCAAACACCCCUCACAGAGAUGGAGAGUGCAGCUGCAGAGGUCAUGCAAGGAAAGAAGUCCUUAAGACAAGCAGGAAAGGAAAGAAAUAUCGACAAGACAACCCUCCAAAGAUUCAUUAAGAAAAUAGAGAAAGGGAGAGUUGAAUCAGUAGCCUGGGGUGCAGUAGCUGAGGCAAAAAGAAUACUGACAGAUGAGAUGGAGGAGGAGCUUGCCCAACAUUUAAAACAACUGGCUGAUCAGUUCCAUGGCCUUGCUCCAGUUAAGUGCCGUGAACUGGCAUUUGAAUAUGCAGACAAAAACCAUAUCCCUGUCCCUGCCAAUUGGAUGGAGAAACAAUGUGCAGGUAGGCUAGGGUGCGCAAGAGAUCACAUGAUUCUGUAGGUCAACUUAGGCCAACUGAUCUUGCCACAAAGCUUAUCUUAUAAUAACGAAUUGUCCACUCUUUAGGAGUAGAGUGGCAGCUUUCUAGCCCGUCGCCAUCUCUCUGUCCGAACUCCGGAGGCAACAUCCCUGGGAAGGGCUACAGCCUUCAAUAAGACUACAGUGGGGGAGUUCUUUACAAAUCUGGCUGUAGUGAUGGACAGACACACAUUUCCUCCACACAUGAUUUACAAUGUGGAUGAAACAGGCGUCUUUACAGUACAAAAGCCACGGCAGGUUGUGACAGAGAAAGG